rnacentral:rRNA from 1 species
UACGUAGGGUGCAAGCGUUAAUCGGAAUUACUGGGCGUAAAGCGUGCGCAGGCGGCUUUGCAAGACAGAUGUGAAAUCCCCGGGCUCAACCUGGGAACUGCAUCUGUGACUGCAAGGCUAGAGUACGGCAGAGGGGGAUGGAAUUCCGCGUGUAGCAGUGAAAUGCGUAGAUAUGCGGAGGAACACCGAUGGCGAAGGCAAUCCCCUGGGCCUGUACUGACGCUCAUGCACGAAAGCGUGGGGAGCAAACAGG